rnacentral:rRNA from 1 species
AGCAGCCGCGGUAAUUCCAGCUCCAAUAGCGUAUAUUAAAGUUGUUGCAGUUAAAAAGCUCGUAGUUGAAUUUCGGAAUCAAUUUGUUGGUCGUGCCUCGGUACGUACUGGUAUUAUUGGUUUCUACCUUCUGAAGAACCUUGAUGUCAUUAAUUUGGUGUCUUGGGGAAUCAGGACCGUUACUUUGAAAAAAUUAGAGUGUUUAAAGCAAGCAUACGCUUGAAUACAUUAGCAUGGAAUAAUGAAAUAGGACGUUUGAUCCUAUUUGUUGGUUCUAGGAUCGGCGUAAUGAUUAAUAGGGAUAGUUGGGGGCAUUAGUAUU